rnacentral:lncRNA from 1 species
AUCCUAUGUUUCAAUUCUUGUCUAAUUUCACAGGUUUGCCUCAAUUUGAUAAAAGAACUAAAACCUACGGAAAGGUUUGUGAAUUGAGUAAAACUUACAGGAGGUUUUACUUCCAACAUGACCGAAAAAAGCAGCAAUCUCCUUCAUCUGCAUAAGCUUUCCACCUGUGGUACCAAAGCCAAGAGGCUCAAACUGAGCAGCUGCCAGAAUGAAAGACUGGUAAUCCCAGAAUCCAACAGCAUGAGCCACAGGCGUAUUUCUCUUGGAGAAAAGCUCUUCAAACUGAUAAACCUGAAACAAAUCUGAGAUUGUUUGAUUACAACAAUACUUAGACCAUUGCUUACAUUCCCAUCCUUGACUACAAACUCUAUGUCCCUUGACUUUCUUCACCAGGAUCUCUUUGGAAGAAUCCCCAUUCACACCAACACUCAAAACCACCACAACAAACAACAACAAAACCCCCCUUUUCAUUUCAGCUUCCCCUGCAACCCAAACUGAGGUUUUUUUAUUUAUUAUACAAAAUUGGAUACACAAUUAAACAAUUAACAAAUGGAAUUCGUAUCUAGUAAUCAAUGGAGGGCAAGUAUUAUUAUGUACGAUUUUAUAAAGAAAAUUAAGAAGGAUAACUCACAGACUUAGGCUUGGUUGGUAUCCGCUAGAAUUAUAUGAUGCUGCUGCUGCUAUGUUACUUUAGUUUUGGUGUGAUAUUUGUUUCAUGUAGAAUGCAAGUGAUGUCUUGUGUUGGAUCACCUCUCCCAAUCAGACUAGUUGAGAUUCCAAAAUCAACAGGGAAGAUUCACACAUCCCCACCGACACUACCCAUCCGCCCUGUUUAAGCUUAUAAGUUACAUUUCAACUCUUUUACUCAUGGUUGGGAUUUUAUUUAUGCGAGGGACCGGGAGGGAGUAAUAAUUUUAGAUACAGGAUAUAUGUGAAAUUGUGUGUCAUCAAUAUUUUGAGAAAAAUAUUUAUGUAAUAAAUGAAAAAAAUAUCUGUAAUUUAAAAAAUACUUCCUCCGUCUCAAUUUAUAGGUCCAUUUUGGAAAAAAAUUUGUCCCAAAAUACUUGUCCCUCUCUUCUUUCAAUACAAAUCUAUCUACUUAUUAAUUGUGAUUUUUUUGAAACUCAACAUUAUUCUCAUUUCUCAAUACACUAAAUCCCUAUAUUUAUUGUGAUUUUUUUGAAACUCAACUAUAUUCUCAUUUGUCAAUGCACUAAUUAAUGAUACAUGAGAUAAGAUUCUAUCUAACCAACUUUUUUCUUAAUAUGCGUGUUUAUUUCAAAAUGGACCUAUAAAUUGAGACGGAGGGAGUAUUAUAUCACCUAUGUUAUUUUAUUACCAUGAUAUAUAAUUCAUGUAAAUAGACACCUCACAUUAUAAGCAGGCCAGCUAAAGUGCCUUGUCAACUUUUGACGGUCCUCUUCUUUGUGUUCACUGGCGUUUUAUGUUGCGGGUGUUUGGCUAGCUAACUUUUGGGCUUUUUUUACAUAAAAGUUAGCUUCUGCUUAGUUGAGCUUGUUUGGCACAUCAAUAGAAGCACUUAUACUGAGGCUUAAAAGCUGUCAAAAAACAGUGAGGAAAGCUAGUUUUUUUUCUAAAUUACAACUUCUUCUAAUAGAAACACUUAACUUAUAAAUCACAGUAUCCAAACACUUCUAAUAACUUAUAAGUUUAAAUUAACUUUUCACUUAUAGUCCACUUCUUUACUUUAAACAAUAAGUCACUUCUUUUAAGUUCAGCCAAACGGCCCCGUUAUUAACUCCUCAUUUCUAUUUACAGAGACAAACUUAUAUUCAGCAGCAUAGGAACACAUCUCCUGUGGAAAUUUGAAAAUCAAAGAGCAAGUCCAACAAUGUUCUAACAAAUGUCUUAUAAAUAUAAUAAAAUAAUGUGUCCUAAUGAUUUAAGAUAUCAUCUUAAUAUAUCAACUCCAACAACAUGCCUCAUUAUUGUGCCUUAUUAUUAAAAUAUUAAUAUAUUUGAAUUGUUAUUGGAGGGAAAUGAAAAGGAGACCCGAGAGAGGAGAGAGAUGUUGUGGAAUGGCAGGAAACUAUUUUUUUAUUGAAUAGGGCAUGCAUAGUGGUGCCUCAAAAAUAAGGAAUUUGUUACAUGUCCUAGUGUUUUAAGAGCAAGUCCAAGAGUGUCCUAGUUCAAGCCCCAAAUAUAAUAUAAAAUAUCGUGUCCUAGUAAUUUAGGACAUACUUUAGUAAUUUGUACUCCAACCAUGUGCCUUAUUCUCACAAUAUGUCUAAUAUUUUAUUAUUAAAGACUCUCUUUCAUCAUUAAAACAUAAUAUAAAAGUAGAGAGAGAAAGAGAGUGUUGAUGAGAAUUUAUAAUAAAAUAUAGAAUAGGGCAAGGAGAGAUGUGUCCCAAAAAUAAGGCUUGGGGAGGUUGUCCUAGUGAUAUAGGGCAUACUAGGACAUUGUUGGAUCAACUUUUUUCAUCAAUUGCCCUAAAUUAUAACUUGGGACAUGAGAUAGGGUAUCUCUUGGACUUGCUCUAAGGCAUCACUAGGACAUUGUUGGAGCAUUGAUUUGCUUCACAUGCUUUAAAUUUUGAUUUAGGACAUCAAUACAGGGCACUCUUGGACUUGCUCUAAGUACCAUGAUUAAAAUGCGAUAUCUUUAUAUAAUAUAUAAAAUGCAAGCUUGUUUGAUGCUCCCUCCGUCCCAGUCAUUUGUUUACAGUUUCCUUUUUGGAAUGUCCCAUCAUUUCUAUACCAUUUCUAUACAUUCCUAAAAUAAUAAUUUUUAAUAAUAUAAAACACUAUCACACCAACUACAUUCUUUCACUAUCUUCAUUUUAUAAUAAUAUAAACACUAUUAUACCCACUACUUUCCUCCACUAUCACAAAUCUAUAAUUAAAUACAAAUGGGUCCCGCCAUCUUACCCACUUUUCAUCUAACUUUAUUCAUUUUUUACACUUUUUCUUGGUCUCCGUCUCUACACCAAAUGUAUACAAUCUAUUAGCACGGAGGGAGUACCUAUUACAGAGAUUUUUCACUUUUUUUCUUUGCUCCAAGGAAGAGAGGAGGCUUUUACCUCCUGAAAUUCUCUUAAACAAAAAUAAAAAAUAGAAUUUACUCUCAGCCUCAGGACGGCACAUUAUCUACCAAGCAAACUCAUAAAAUCUCCGAGAAUCAUCUGUGUGUCAUCAAUAAAUACCAUAUUUAUGAUUCUGAAUAUAUUUUUUUUGUCACAAUUCUAAAUAUAUUAUUAAGAUCUUAACUUAAUCAACACUGUCUUCAUCUUUGUUGCAGUUCGGUUAUUUUCAAGUAAGGUUCCAAACGGCUAUAUCAGUUCAACACUUCAUAACUUCAUAAAUUACAUUUACAUAAUCAAGCACAUAUACACAAACAACUUCAUUCUUCUGUCGAAAAAAAAAAACUUCAUUCUAAACUAUAAAUUAUACUAACAAUCAAUUAUAUGAAAUUAAACUCAUAUACACGAACUAUAUAAAAUUAAGAUUUUAAAAUGCACAAAUUAAAUAAUCUUAUACAUAUCCUAUAUAUACAUACAAGUGAGAUGUAAUUACAGUAAAGUUCAACCCCCAACUACAAGUGUAAUAUGAUCACCCAAAAUUUUAAAUUUGAAGUUGUAUAUACAUAGAUUGAAAGGUACAAGUUACUCAUAUUUUUAAAUUGAAGUCAUAUAUAUGUAGAUUGAAAGAUGCAAGUUUAAAACAAAAGUAAUAUGGUAGUAAAUACAGAAAAAAGAAUGGAAAAAUAGUUUUUCUGGCAAAUUCCCAGAUUUUAAAAGUCAGGGUUCUAACUAUGCAAUCAAAACUCUUGAAAUACUUGUCAAAAAGUAGAUUAUUAAAAACAAACAAGAGUAUGAUAAUUAAUUGAAUUUGCAACAACGUUAUAUAAUUGCAUACUUACAAAAUAAUACACACAAACUUUUAGUAACAGAGAAUUCAAAAAAUUUAUACAACUGGGAAGAAAUCAUUAUCACAAACUUGAACCAUUGCUCAAACUUAUUGAGAUAUAACUGAACACAAUCUCUGAGCACAUGACUCCUGUUCUGCAGUUCUUGUGAUAAAAUAUAUCUCAAGAGUCAUCUUUACUUUUGGUUGCUGGAUUGAAAGCUUCCUGAUCCGCACACGUGAGUACUUCAUGAGGUCCUGCCUCCUCACGGCCAACACCCAUCAAGUCAAGGUAGUAUUGGUAAUGAGAGACGAUGGUGUUCAUGGCAUCGAUGUCACCUUGACCGCAUACCAUUUCCCCGUAAAGAAUAUUCAUUGUGGCACCGAAACCAGGAGUUCGCUUGGCUAAAGUGUCAUUCUUGGUGGGCUUCCAGUUGCCGACGAAAGCAUCAUGUGAUGAAGGCUGCCCCUUCUUGAUUUCGGUCAUCCACCUCCAGAUUGCUGCCUGGAAUGCAAGGGUAGCAUUCUGUUCAAUGUAUUCUGGAUGGUUCAAUAGAUCCACCUUUAGGGCCUCACCAGCAGCACCAUAGUUAACGUUCCUGAGCAGCAGAGAAGUUAUAAAUAUAAGCAACCAGUACCAAAAGAUGUCAGGAACCCUCAAUUAUUUUUUCUUGACCUAACAAAGUAAUGACUAUAUGAUUGACAAGAUUUAAUCCAUAGCAAAUGAUCUAUGAAUUCAUCAAGGCAUAUAUAACUUCGCAAACCACCACCAAUACAAGGGUCAGAGUUUACUAAAUUUGUUACUGAAUCACUAUUAGAGUUGCAAAUUUAGUUGAGACAAAAGUAGCUAAAUGGGCAACUCAUUCUAUCAAUUAAGUACCAUAUACCAGUAAUAAAUCCAAAUCGGCUCCGCUUAAGAAGUAAGAAUCAGAAGCAGUGACAAAGGAAUAAAAAAAACUUACCAGUAGAUAGGCAGAGCACCACGUCCGUAGUAUUCAGCCCCAGGAGCACAUGGGUAUGUGUACUUGUACGAGUCAUCACAAUAUGUUUGGCUAGGACUCAAUUCUCUGUUGUAGCACAAACCCCAUGCCAAUGGUCCUCCAGUUGCGACUCCAUAACCACCUGCACGUUAAAUCAUCAACGCCAAUCUUGCAACUUGUUUAUAGAUAGAUGAAAAUAACAAAAGAUCAGUAAGAUUUUAGGCAACAAACAUAUUUGAGACUGAAACUCUUAAGGCAAUAUAGAUCGGCCAAAGACAGCAAAUAACAUCAGUAUGAUGAGCAAACUGAUAAAUGGUUUCCACUAGCCAAAAUUGACCAACAGUUUCCAAUUAGGCUUUAAUAAUAGGGGUUUUCUCAUAAAUACCUAAGUUCAAAAUUGUUUUUGUAAAAACACUACUAUCUUUUUUAAAUAAUUUGCAAAAAUACCAAACUUUCGAAAAUAUUUGCAAAAAUAUUGUAUGCAGCCUGUUGCAACCACACGCAACCAUACUUGCAACCAGCUGCAACCAUAUUUGCAACCCCUGCGGGGCCAAUUAACUGAAGUUGCAUAUGGUUGCAGACCAUAUUUUUGCAAAUAUUUUCUAAAAAGUUAAAAUUUGUGCAAUUUUUUCCAAAAGAUAGUAAAAUCGCAAAAAACAAACUUAGAAAAUGUGGUAUUUUUGAUAAAUUCCCUUAAUAUUAGUACAGAGUGGAAUUUUCGAUUCAAUUAAUAUCUAUAUUACUUCUGAACUACAGAGCAAAUCACUCCAAUGCAUAAAUGAACUUUAAAAAACAGCCUUAUAAUACGAAAUGAAUGUGGUUACAUGAUAAAAAAUAAUAUACUACAUAGUUUUCAUAGAAUAACUGAUGAGGUAUUUUAAUCCUAUGUUUCAAUUUUUGUCUAAUUUCACAGGUUUGCCUCAAUUUGAUAAAAGAACUAAAACCUAAGCAAAGGUUUGUGAAUGAGUAAAACUUACAGGAGGUUUUACUUCCAACAUGACCGAAAAACGCAGCAAUUUCCUUCAUCUGCAUAAGCUUUCCACCUGUGGUACCAAAGCCAAGAGGCUCAAACUGAGCAGCUGCCAGAAUGAAAGACUGGUAAUCCCAGAAUCCAACAGCAUGAGCCACAGGCGUAUUUCUCUUGGAGAAAAGCUCUUCAAACUGAUAAACCUGAAACAAAUCUGAGAUAGUUUGAUUACAACAAUACUUAGACCAUUGCUUAC